AAGACCGUGUCUCAAAACAAACCAAAAAAACCCCACACAAAACCAUGCUGUGUAGUGUUGAUGGUCACACGUGUGCUGUGAGGUCUACAAACGUGCCCUAGACUGACACUCCAGAUGCGGAAUCGGCCCCAGGAGGGAGAGCGAUGACACCAGAGGGCACCCGGGCGCUUUGGGUGGAUUGGACAGGUUGAAUCCACUUAAAAUCACGGCACAGACACAGCCAAAUGCCAAGGAGUCUUAGAGCUGGGAGGGGCCGAUGGUACUUAUCACAUCAUUCUCUGUGCUUUUCCGUAUGUUAGAAACAUCCCAUAACAAAACAGUGCAGGGAAGAGGAAGGCCAGUCUGCGCUGUGCUGAUUCAGCAACAAGCAACUCAGCAGCGAAACGAAACCCUGGCUGGAGGCACUGGCCGGUUUCCGUGGCGUAAACAUUCCCACCACGGCGACGCCUGAGCCACCCACCUGAGGGGGCCGACGGAGCAGACACACAGGACCGGCCUCCAGUGCACACCCACGAAGGACACACAGCACCGGCCCCCAGCUGUCAGGGGCCGGCCCCCAGCGCACGUCGCGAAGGACACACAGCACGCCUCCCUGAGCUGUAGCCAGCAGGCAAGGGUCACGUCUCUACAAUCAGGGAGAAGAACAGAGAGGCUGCCGUGGGAACCCAGCGGGCAUCCGGCUCACUGGCACACCCGGGAGCUCGUGUGGAGCAGCGCCGGGCACACACAGGCCACCCCCGCCCUCCCACUCACGUUUAUGUCUGGAAGGCAGAGAACGGACCAGCAGGGCAGCGGGCAGGUGGUGAAGGAUGCACCUGUGGUGAUGGCUCAGACAGGAACUGGAGGGGCAGGCCCUGCCGCUUCUGUGGCCAGGGUCUCCCCAGUCUCCGCCACUCCGGCUGCCACAGCAAAACACCCCAGGUGGCGGCUUCAAGCGACCGACAUUUGGCUCACAGCUCUGGAGGCUGUGAGUCCAACCGGCCCCAGCAGACUGUGGUUCACAGCCAGCGCCUCCUGGCCAUGUCCACACGUGAUGGAGGGUGCUCUCUGAGGUCCCUUUUGUCUGGGUACUAAGCCGUCCACGAGGAUGGUCUGACCCUCAUGGCCGGACCCCCCCAAAGGCCUCUCCUCCCAACAGCAUCACCUUGGAGUGAAGGUUUCCACAGAAGAAUUUCCGGGGACAGACAUUUGGGCCACGGUGACCUCUCUGGGGGCCCCUCAGUGUGAGAAGGACGGAGAGGAGGAGCCGGCUCCGCAGGCUGCAGACUCCCAUGAGAUGCAGAGAGUGAGGCCCAGCUUCUAGGAGAGACCCGGCCCAGCUUCCGCGAUGGACCCGCCCAGCUUCCGCGAGGGACCCGCCCAGCUUCUAUGAGACACCUGUUGCCGUUCGCAAGUCCGAGUAACGUGGCUGGAAAACCAGAGCCCUCGCCAGGAACGAGUGAGGCUUGACAGACGGCACACCUCCCUCCGCGGGGAACCAGCCCUGAGAUGGCGCAGGAGCAAAUCUACCCACCAGACCUCAGGCUGGCCGCCGCACAGGAGGGGCUGGGUCGGCUGAGACGUCUCAGGGGGACGCUCGAGUCCCCGGAAGGUUCCGGUCCAGAGGCCCAGUGGAGGGACACACAGACCCACUCCGGAGAGCACCGGAUUUGGGUCAGAGCCUGGGCCAUCUGCAGCCCCGAAGU